rnacentral:rRNA from 1 species
AUUGAACGCUGGCGGCAUGCCUAACACAUGCAAGUCGAACGGCAGCAUGAUCUAGCUUGCUAGGUUGAUGGCGAGUGGCGCACGGGUGAGUAAUGCGUAGGAAUAUGCCUUAAAGUGGGGGACAACUUGGGGAAACUCAAGCUAAUACCGCAUAAUCUCGAAGGAGAAAAGCUGGGGACUUUCGAGCCUGGCGCUUUAAGAUUGGCCUACGUCCGAUUAGCUAGUUGGUAGGGUAAAGGCCUACCAAGGCGACGAUCGGUAGCUGGUCUGAGAGGAUGGUCUGCCACACUGGGACUGAGACACGGCCCAGACUCCUACGGGAGGCAGCAGUGGGGAAUAUUGGACAAUGGGGGCAACCCUGAUCCAGCGAUGCCGCGUGUGUGAAGAAGGCCUGCGGGUUGUAAAGCACUUUCGGUGGGGAGGAGGAGUGAUAGGUUAAGAGCUAAUUACUUGGACGUUACCCACAUAAGAAGCACCGGCUAACUCCGUGCCAGCCGCCGCAGUAA